rnacentral:rRNA from 1 species
UGCAAGUCGAGCGAACAGACGAGGAGCUUGCUUCUCUGACGUUAGCGGCGGACGGGUGAGUAACACGUGGAUAACCUACCUAUAAGACUGGGAUAACUUCGGGAAACCGGAGCUAAUACCGGAUAAUAUAUUGAACCGCAUGGUUCAAUAGUGAAAGACGGUUUUGCUGUCACUUAUAGAUGGAUCCGCGCCGCAUUAGCUAGUUGGUAAGGUAACGGCUUACCAAGGCAACGAUGCGUAGCCGACCUGAGAGGGUGAUCGGCCACACUGGAACUGAGACACGGUCCAGACUUCUACGGGAGGCAGCAGUAGGGAAUCUUCCGCAAUGGGCGAAAGCCUGACGGAGCAACGCCGCGUGAGUGAUGAAGGUCUUCGGAUCGUAAAACUCUGUUAUUAGGGAAGAACAAAUGUGUAAGUAACUAUGCACGUCUUGACGGUACCUAAUCAGAAAGCCACGGCUAACUACGUGCCAGCAGCCGCGGUAAUACGUAGGUGGCAAGCGUUAUCCGGAAUUAUUGGGCGUAAAGCGCGCGUAGGCGGUUUUUUAAGUCUGAUGUGAAAGCCCACGGCUCAACCGUGGAGGGUC